GCAAAGAGUUUAAAGCCGGUAUUUUACGUGAUCACUGGAGGUAAUCAGAUCACAGGAUUUGCAGCGUGUAAAUCCAAGUUAUGAGGAAGUGUAGGCACUCCACUGUAAUGAAAUCUGCCUUGCUUUCUUCCAUCUUGUUAUUCUACUGAUGUUUGUUUUCCAACACACAGUAUUAAACAAUACAUGUUACCCUUUCUUCUUUUCUAAAGCUGUCCAUCUAAACACAAAGCAAGUUUAGAAAUACCUUCUUGACCUUCAUAUAUAUAAAAGUCUGUUUAACAUAUUUAGAGAGUCAGCUAAGAAUGUUCCCAUUCAUUGUAAGCCUCCAAUUUCAUCGUCUCUGUAGAUUUCUCAGAUAAGAAAAAGGAAUGUUUCUUUUGAUUGUUGAUUCAGAAAAAUCGUGCUAACAGCUAAGUCAGGGACAGACAAACCCAACAUAGAACUUGAAAUCCAGUGGUAUUCUACAAAUAUUUCCCAUGUCUGAUACUGUGACAUGGGUUGUUCUGUAUGUCAGCUCCUAAUUGUUUGCAUGUGUGUCCAUGCUUCUUUUUUAUAAAAUAAUUCUGUUAGAAUUGCCUUGUUUUUCAUUUUAUAUUUAACUUUUUUCCCCUAGAUUUUUUUUCUACUGCUUCUACAAAUAAUGAGAAAAAAAUGAAUUAAAGUUUUAUUUGCCUUCAUUUGAUAGAACCUGAACUAUAAUCAGUUAGGAAUAUAUCAUGUGACUGUCCAGUGACACUUACUGGUGGUAUGUGAGAUUGCAGACUGGUUCUAUUAUGUAUUGUAAAUACUUAAACAAGAAGAGCUAAGUCCUAGACACGUCUAAGAAUUGGAAGUUGAGAGGUAGUAGAGAUAGUGAUGGUACAAGAAAUAGGAAGAGGAUCCUAGAUUUCAAUAAGUGCUGAAAAUUUCUGAUAAGACAUUUAAACAAAAUCCUUGUUUUCUGCAGGAUUCAGGAUCCUAAGGUGUAUUUUCUUCCCUGUUAAAAAUUUUUAAUAUGAAUAGAUAUGUUUCCAUUUUCAAAAGCAUUAUUAAAGUAGGCAUGUUAAAUGAUCCUUUCAAAUUUGUAUGUAUGAAUUUUAUAAUGCUGUGUGUUGUGACUCUGCAGCUGAUACAUAGUAAUAUGCUAUGCUGUUGGAAAAAUCUGAAUUUUUGGUGAGUUUAUUUUCCUCAUAUUUGACUUUUUUUUUUUAAGACAAGAUCUCAUUGUGUAGUUCUGAAUACCCUGGAACUCUCUAUGUAGACCAGGCUGGCCUCAAAUUCACAAAGAUCCACCUUAAAGGUGUGUGCCACCAUUCCUGGCCAGGCCCAGGCUACAAGAGACCUUGCCUCACAAACAAAUGAACAAAAAAUUUUGUGAGCCAGACAUGGGAGUGCACACUUAAUAACAGCACCCAGAGGCAGAGAAAAAAAUGAUCUUUGUGGGGUGGGACCAAAACCGUUGAAAGGGCAAAAGCACUUGCUACACAAGCCUGAUAACCCAUGGUAGGAAGUUGAAAAGAAAGUGGACUCUUAAAUAUUACUGACCUCCACAUGCACACUCUGGUAUGUGUGUACCCACACUUACAUAUCAUAAACACAUUAACUUUUAUUAAUAAAUAAAAAUUUUAAAGUUUUAAAAUGCCCAGCAGUGGUGGUACAUUCCUUUAGUCCCAGCACUCAGGAGACUGAGGCAGGUGGAUCUCUGUGAGUUUGAGGCCAGCCUGGUCUAGAAAGCAAGUUCCAGGAUAGCAAGGACUAUAUAGAAAAACCCUGUCUCAAAAAAAGGAAAGUUUUAAAAUUCAUUUUGUACUAGAAAAGGAAAGUAGUAAGGACUUUUUACUUUGACUUCUUUAACAGGAGAGAAAGCUCCAACUUAAAGGUUUGGUGGCAAUGUGACUUUACCUUUUUUGCAUAUCAGAAAGUGUUCUUUCAGGUAAGAUUGUAGUUCUCCAGUUAUAUUUAGUCCUUUUUUAGAUUUCUUCUGAGAUCUGAUAACAAAUAGCUCCAAAGUAGGAUUUCAACAGAUACAUGUGAUCACCCCAUGCCAUGUAAAAUAGAGAAAGUGUGGGAGAAGAUACAAAUUUGGUAAAGCCAGCUACCAUUCUACUUCCUUAAAUCUUGGGAGUCUUCAUUUUUAGAGCCACCCAGAGGCCUUUGAGUUACUUGUAAUCUGCUUGUUAUUGACUCAAAUUAUCUGUUCAAAAGUGGUAGAAACAAAAAAGUAAAUCCCAGGAAGGAACCGUGUCAGUUUCACCUCUGGAAGGCAUGAUUUAGGACCUGUUAUUGGAGAAGACUCAAAAAUCAGUGGUAAGAAGGAGUUGACGCAGAGGCUAAGAGCACUGUUGAUCUUGCAGACGACCAACGUUUGAUUCUGAGAACCCGUAUAUGGCAGCUCACAAAAGUCUAUAACUCGGUUCUAGGGGAUUCAACACACUCUUCUGACCUCGAAGGAGCUGCGUGCAUAUAGAGCACAGGCAUAUGUGCAAACAAACAUUCAAAUGUGGAAGAUUCUUUUUUAAAUCUUUUUUUUUUUUUAAAUCUUUGUUGGAGAUUUAGCUCAAAUGUGCAAAAAAUUUAUGCAAGGCUCUGGGUUCAGGCUUCAGCUCUGAAAAAAAAAAAAAAGAACAAAGAGAACUAAGGGAAUUCAGCUUUGUUUCUGUAUCUAGACCUGUGUAGACUCCACCAUAUGCAUCUUUAAACUCAGAAAUCUUCCUGUAGUUUAAUAUUAAGGAACUUUAAAAGGAAAAUUUACUUAAAAUAGACUAGUAGAUUAUACCCUCCACUAUAUAAUCAAAACCACCAGGCUUUCAAUGGAUACAUAAACAUGUUUUGGUUGCUAGGUUUUUAAUGGCUGUUAUUUUUGGACUGUGUUCAUGAUCUACUUCCCAACAGUCUGAUGUGACACAGCUGAGUUCUAAAUACACUGCAUGUACUUAAAAAAAAUGGCUACCAAAGGUUGUGCUGUCUGCAUUCUUUUGUUAAAACACAGAUGAUAAGCUUUUUAGCGCUUUUAUUCCUAUUUUCCUUUUGAGACUGUUUCUCUUAAGGCCUUCAUGAAGGAGAACUUGAGAAAAAACAAUAUCCUUGCUAAAAACUUCUCUAUGAAAUGUGGUAUACGCAGUCAUUAAUAGAGUGGAGCUGCCUCCUGAGAAUUGGUUAGUUUUGUUAAGGCAACAGUCCCCCAGGUACUCUUUUGACUGAGGCCUAGGUGAAUCGAGUUGUAUGGGCUUUUGAAGCAAUUAUUAGGUAGCAUCUAUUUAAGAGCCAACUCACUUAAACACACCUGUAAUCCUAGCCAUCUGGUU
rnacentral:lncRNA from 1 species